rnacentral:tRNA from 1 species
CAGCUAGUAGUUUAAAUUAAAAUGUUAGUUUUGGAGACUAGUGAUAGAUACAUAUAUAUCUUUGGCUGA